GACGAACGCUGGCGGCGUGCCUAAUACAUGCAAGUAGAACGCUGAAGAGAGGAGCUUGCUCUUCUUGGAUGAGUUGCGAACGGGUGAGUAACGCGUAGGUAACCUGCCUUGUAGCGGGGGAUAACUAUUGGAAACGAUAGCUAAUACCGCAUAACAAUGGAUGACACAUGUCAUUUAUUUGAAAGGGGCAAUUGCUCCACUACAAGAUGGACCUGCGUUGUAUUAGCUAGUAGGUGAGGUAACGGCUCACCUAGGCGACGAUACAUAGCCGACCUGAGAGGGUGAUCGGCCACACUGGGACUGAGACACGGCCCAGACUCCUACGGGAGGCAGCAGUAGGGAAUCUUCGGCAAUGGGGGCAACCCUGACCGAGCAACGCCGCGUGAGUGAAGAAGGUUUUCGGAUCGUAAAGCUCUGUUGUAAGUCAAGAACGAGUGUGAGAGUGGAAAGUUCACACUGUGACGGUAGCUUACCAGAAAGGGACGGCUAACUACGUGCCAGCAGCCGCGGUAAUACGUAGGUCCCGAGCGUUGUCCGGAUUUAUUGGGCGUAAAGCGAGCGCAGGCGGUUUGAUAAGUCUGAAGUUAAAGGCUGUGGCUCAACCAUAGUUCGCUUUGGAAACUGUCAAACUUGAGUGCAGAAGGGGAGAGUGGAAUUCCAUGUGUAGCGGUGAAAUGCGUAGAUAUAUGGAGGAACACCGGUGGCGAAAGCGGCUCUCUGGUCUGUAACUGACGCUGAGGCUCGAAAGCGUGGGGAGCGAACAGGAUUAGAUACCCUGGUAGUCCACGCCGUAAACGAUGAGUGCCAGGUGUUGGAUCCUUUCCGGGAUUCAGUGCCGCAGCUAACGCAUUAAGCACUCCGCCUGGGGAGUACGACCGCAAGGUUGAAACUCAAAGGAAUUGACGGGGGCCCGCACAAGCGGUGGAGCAUGUGGUUUAAUUCGAAGCAACGCGAAGAACCUUACCAGGUCUUGACAUCCCGAUGCUAUUUCUAGAGAUAGAAAGUUACUUCGGUACAUCGGUGACAGGUGGUGCAUGGUUGUCGUCAGCUCGUGUCGUGAGAUGUUGGGUUAAGUCCCGCAACGAGCGCAACCCCUAUUGUUAGUUGCCAUCAUUCAGUUGGGCACUCUAGCGAGACUGCCGGUAAUAAACCGGAGGAAGGUGGGGAUGACGUCAAAUCAUCAUGCCCCUUAUGACCUGGGCUACACACGUGCUACAAUGGUUGGUACAACGAGUUGCGAGUCGGUGACGGCAAGCUAAUCUCUUAAAGCCAAUCUCAGUUCGGAUUGUAGGCUGCAACUCGCCUACAUGAAGUCGGAAUCGCUAGUAAUCGCGGAUCAGCACGCCGCGGUGAAUACGUUCCCGGGCCU
rnacentral:rRNA from 1 species